GCCCGGGUAGCUCAGCGGCAGAGCAGCCGCCUUGUAAGCGGCAGGUCGGGGGUUCGAAUCCCUUCCCGGGCUC
rnacentral:tRNA from 1 species